rnacentral:hammerhead_ribozyme from 1 species
AUUCAGCCGACGAGUCCCAGAUAAGACGAAAUGUACGUCCUGGAU